rnacentral:tRNA from 1 species
GGAGAGGUGGCCGAGUGGUCGAAGGCGCUCGCCUGCUAAGCGAGUAGGGGGCCAUCAGCUCCCUCGAGGGUUCAAAUCCCUCCCUCUCCGCCA